CGGGGGGUAGCAUUGUGGAUCAAUGUGCGCGCGUGUCAUCGUGGCGCGAGAAGUCGGUUCAAUUCCGGCCCUCCCGA
rnacentral:tRNA from 1 species